CAAGACAUUAACUUACAUCUUCUGAAUGCAACUCAGACCCUUUAAAUUAAGAUAAAGUUCUCUAGAAUGA
rnacentral:tRNA from 8 species